ensembl:lncRNA
AAAUUUUAAUAAUUUUCACGCCAAACAUUUACUGGACUGAUUUAAAUAUUAAAAUCACUCCUUUCUAAUCCUCUGCUGUACGUUCAAACCUGAAGCCUUAAAUAGAAACACACAAGUAUCUGAUUGAAAGAACUUCUGCAGAGUCCUGGUUCCAGAAUAUGAUGAUAGAAUUAUAGACAAACUUUAACAAAAGCUGCCUGAGAGUUUACAGGUUUUUAUGUUAGAUUUCUUCAGUAAUUUAAUGAGUUAUCAGCAAUAAUCAAGUGUUCAUUUGAUGAACUUCAUUUCCUAAAACAUCCAGAAUUGGAGCUCAUAUCUUUGGCAGCUGUAAAGUUUCUGCUCCUUCAAAGUUCACAACACAAUGAAUGAAUUCCUAAAACACUCUCAAUGCUGGAGAGCGUUUGAUGCUGAAGCAGUGAUCAGUUUUUCUGUUUCUUCUCUGGAGAUGCACAAUGAGGGACGUCUGCAGCGACUGAGAAAGAGUCUCACCACAUCCUGACAUGAGGAAAAAGACUUUAUUGAAGACUGCAAUGAGAAAAACUAUCAGACAGCAGACGGCAUGCAUUCAAGAUUGUUCCAGAUAAGACAAGUACAAGAUUCUUCAGAGCCGUUCUACCACGAGCCUGACAGGAAGAACUCCAACAGCUACUGAAUGUUCCUGUGGUUCCCUCAAGGCUACAGGAGGAGUCCUACGAGGACGAGCCGGUCCACCUGAUGGAGGCCAGUCGCUGCGGUUCAAAGCCAACACCGACUACGUGGACUUCUACUGGACCACAGGGAGGCCUUCAAACCGGACCAACAAGUUCAGCGACUCCCCGACUCGUGGGUCUGAGGACGCCGCCGAGCCUCGGUCCAGCCGGCCUCCUGUCUGUGGGUGUUUGAGUGCUGAGAGGUUUGUGGAUGCAUGUGAACGUUCUGUGUUGAAACUGCAGCUUUUGACUCACUAACGCCGGGAAAAACCAAGAGCUCCUUUAUUUGUGACUUCCACUAAAAAAAACUGAUGAAAAUAAGUUUGCCAGGGUUCUGACUGAUAACAGAUUAUUAAAUAAUGAAAAUAACAGUUUAAGUGUUCCUUUAAACAAUCCUUUUAGGUCUACAUUUCCUUUACACUGACUUCUUGGUAUAUGUACAAGUAUUUUGGGUUGAAUAUACCAUUAAGCCCAAUGUUCUGGGGUUCUUCUGGGAAUAUACCAUUAAACCAAAUUUUUAGGUAAAUGUUCCAGGAUGUUGGGUAGAAUAUACCAUCAGAUCAACCUUUCAGGUCUACAUUGGAAGAUUUUAGAGUAGAAUAAUAAUCCAAACCAUCCUUUAGGUCUACAGUUAAGGUGGAAUACUCCUUUACACCAAGAUUUUUUGGUCUACAUUGAAGGGUUUUAGGUGGAAUAUUCCUUUGAACGAACUUUUUAAAUUUAUGUUCAAGGAUGUUGGGUGGAAUAUACCAUCAGACCAACCUCCAAGGUCUACAGUAGUGGAUUUUAGGUGGAAUAUACCAUUAAACUCACCUUUUAGGUCUACAUUGGAGGGUUUUAGAUGGAAUUUUCUUCCAAACCGUCUUUUAGUCUACAUUUAAGGAUGUUUAGGAUGGUAGAUUCUUCCAAACCAACUUCUCAGGUCUACAUUUCAGGUGGAAUAUUCCUCCAUACUAACUUUUUUGGUCUACAUUGAAGGAUUUUUUCUAAACCACCCUUUCAGGUCUAUAUUUGAGGUUUUAGGUGGAAUAUUCCUUUUAACCAGCACCUCAGGUCUGUUUGAGGAUUUUGGAUGGACUCCACGGUUAAACCAACAUUUUAGGUGCAUGUCCAAGGAUUUUUGGUGGAAUGGUCCUUUAAGGUGGAUGUUUGAGGGCCUUGUAGGUGGAAUACUUCCUGAAACCAACCUUUUAGGUCAACAUUCAAAGAUUUAAGGUGGAAUGUUCCUUUAAAUCAAGCUAAAUUUCAUGUUUUGAUCAUUAUCAAGUGAGAAACCUCAAUCCAGACUCCUCAUAAUGACAUUUGAGAUUCAUGCUGCUAUUUGUUUAGUCCAGACUAAAUGACAGAAAUCCACAACUGUAAUUUUAUUUCAUGACUCGGUUAUUAAAUGUCAAAACAAUCCAUGUGACUAUAAAACUCAACAGCUUUACAAACUCUAAGAUUAAACUCCCCACAAGGAUCCAAAAUAAGUUGGACUUCUACAUGAGAGCUUUAAUUAUUCUUC